rnacentral:rRNA from 1 species
UGGGGAAUAUUGCACAAUGGGCGCAAGCCUGAUGCAGCCAUGCCGCGUGUAUGAAGAAGGCCUUCGGGUUGUAAAGUACUUUCAGCGGGGAGGAAGGGAGUAAAGUUAAUACCUUUGCUCAUUGACGUUACCCGCAGAAGAAGCACCGGCUAACUCCGGGCCAGCAGCCGCGGUAAUACGGAGGGUGCAAGCGUUAAUCGGAAUUACUGGGCGUAAAGCGCACGCAGGCGGUUUGUUAAGUCAGAUGUGAAAUCCCCGGGCUCAACCUGGGAACUGCAUCUGAUACUGGCAAGCUUGAGUCUCGUAGAGGGGGGUAGAAUUCCAGGUGUAGCGGUGAAAUGCGUAGAGAUCUGGAGGAAUACCGGUGGCGAAGGCGGCCCCCUCGACAAAGACUGACGCUCAGGUGCGAAAGCGUGAGGAGCAAACAGG